GGAGAGUUUGAUCCUGGCUCAGGACGAACGCUGGCGGCGUGCUUAACACAUGCAAGUCGAGCGGUAAGGCCCUUCGGGGUACACGAGCGGCGAACGGGUGAGUAACACGUGGGUGAUCUGCCUUGCACUCUGGGAUAAGCCUGGGAAACUGGGUCUAAUACCGGAUAUGAGCCUGAACUGCAUGGUUCGGGUUGGAAAGAUUUAUCGGUGCGAGAUGGGCCCGCGGCCUAUCAGCUUGUUGGUGAGGUAACGGCUCACCAAGGCGACGACGGGUAGCCGGCCUGAGAGGGCGACCGGCCACACUGGGACUGAGACACGGCCCAGACUCCUACGGGAGGCAGCAGUGGGGAAUAUUGCACAAUGGGCGAAAGCCUGAUGCAGCGACGCCGCGUGAGGGAUGACGGCCUUCGGGUUGUAAACCUCUUUCGACAGGGACGAAGCGCAAGUG
rnacentral:rRNA from 1 species